UACGUAGGGUGCGAGCGUUGUCCGGAAUUAUUGGGCGUAAAGGGCUCGUAGGCGGUCUGUUGCGUCAGGAGUGAAAACUCGGGGCUUAACCCCGAGCCUGCUUCUGAUACGGGCAGACUAGAGGUAUGCAGGGGAGAACGGAAUUCCGGGUGUAGCGGUGGAAUGCGUAGAGAUCCGGAAGAACACCGGUGGCGAAGGCGGCCCGCUGGGCUGUUGCUGACGCUGAGGCGCGACAGCGUGGGGAGCAACAGG
rnacentral:rRNA from 1 species